rnacentral:rRNA from 1 species
CUGGGCGAGGUGAAGGUAAUAACCGGAUCCGUGCUCGGUCCCGUGCCUUGGCCUCCCGCGGAUCUGCCUCGCUGCGAGGCUUCCGUGACGGCUUGCCGUCGCGGUCGUCCUCUUCGGCCGCUAUUUAACGGUCAGCUCAGAACUGGCACGGACUGGGGGAAUCCGACUGUCUAAUUAAAACAAAGCAUUGCGAUGGCCCUAGCGGGUGUUGACGCAAUGUGAUUUCUGCCCAGUGCUCUGAAUGUCAACGUGAAGAAAUUCAAGCAAGCGCGGGUAAACGGCGGGAGUAACUAUGACUCUCUUAAGCCAACACUGUGAGUGCUCGGACCAUUGGUCCCUUCCUUUCAGGUCAUCUGGGCAGGGACCGCCGAUCCCUGUACCAAGCGAACAAUGCCGACACCACCGUGCAUUUCGCGGCUGCAAAUUAUAUGGGGGGACCUUGGUCUUUCUAUCGUCGGGCCACAGAAGCUUUUUCUUCCUUUUGGGCUUACUGUUAAUAUACAUAUAUAUAUAUACAAACAUAUUGUAUCAUGUUUAUUAUUGAUGAUAUUGUUUUCAUCUCCGUUUCCUUCGGGAGCGGAUGCGUGUACGAGUGGGCGUCACGCUGGGCCGCAGUGCCUUAAGAGCUUAGUUACCUAAAGGAUCGAUGAUGCGAACACACAGCCUAUCUCGAUCAAGUCUGGCACCACCUUCUCGUGGUUUCCGCUGACAAUCUCAACCGAGGCAGCCCGGUGAGAGCAAACGGUGUCCAGUCGAACGUGCGUGCACCCCAAUGGGGUAGCGUCGGUGCUUUUGUACGGCUACUCAAAACCUAUGUCCUACGGUGAGUUGUGGGGUCAAGAAAGGACGGGUUGCUUCGGGGGCUCUCGGUUGUCAAUCCGUUAGUCCCCAACACGCAGCAAAUAUGGAAAAGGCAAACAAAAGAAUGAAUCCACGCCCGGGUUCUCGGAUGGCCCGGGCACUGCGUGUUAGUGAGAGCGAGUGUGUUGUGCCUGGUAGUAGUGGGCCGGCCAAUGCACAGGUGGAGGAAGUUCCCACGAGUGCUCAUAGCGUAGGCAGAACAACUGCCAAUGAACUGUUUCGUUGCGAACAUUGCGACAGGGAGUUCAAUACCAAGCGUGGGCUUGGUGUGCACGUUAGAUUUGCACAUAAAGAAGCUGCCAACGACCUGAUCGACGUAGAAAGGGUUAGACCCCGUUGGCCUGAGGAGGAGGUGCGACUGAUGGCGCGGGCUGAGGCUACGGCCACCUUAGCGGGGGUUCGGUACAUGAAUCAACACCUUUCUGUACUGUUCCCUAAUAGGUCUCUUGAAGGCAUCAAGGGUAAACGGCGCAAUGCUGCUUACCAAGCGAUGGUUCUUGAGUUCCGCCAACAGGAAUUAGAUUCAAAUUCUGAUUCUGAUGACGGCUUGGUGGCGGAUGCGACAAUGACACGAGUCGCCCGCACACCUGACCGGCCUUCAGUUGCCAUCGAACAACAAACACCCCAGUCUCCAAUACUCCAUGACCAAGAUGGUCUUGGAAGAGUGCGCUUAGCGAUCGCGACUUUGUUAGAGUCAACUGCGCGCUAUCGUAUCUAUGAGGCUGGCACUCUGCGGGAAGUCGCACGAGAUGCUCUGGCGGGGGAGAGAGUAGUUGACCGAUUGAAUGAUUGGCUCGCUGCGAUCUUCCCUGCUGGUCGGGUGAACCCUCCCAGACCCAAUCGAAAUCGAUCAGUGCGUCCUCCGGCAAAUGAGAAUAGGGAGCAAAGACGCAAGAGAGAGUUCGCAGCAAUGCAGAACCUCUAUCGAACUAACUUGCGUGCCUGUCUCGGUAAUAUACUCGAUGGAGACAUAACGCGGGAAAGGCCUUCUGGCAUCAGUUUUGCGCAGUACUGGCAGCCUCUUAUUGAGACGGUCAGUGCAGCUGAUGGCCAUAUGGAGGACCUCCGCCGGUCUGCCACUGGGUCGAGACAGAGUUUGAUCAGAGCCAGGUUGAGCAAUGGCCCUUCUACAUCAGGGUACGGCGUUGGGGCCGGCGUAAGCCGUGCCGCUGAUAAGUCCUCGCUCUGGGAUCCGAUCACGACAACCGAGGUUGUCCGGAUUCCUGUUAAAACUGGCUCUGCCCCUGGAUUGGACAAAAUAACACCUAGGGCCUGGAAAGCCGUUCCGGCGGAUCUACGGGCCCUAUUGUUCAAUCUAAUGCUCCUUGCAAGAGAGGUCCCUUCGUCGAUCUCCUCUUCCAGGACGGUCUUUCUGGAGAAAGGUAGUAUGCCAGAACAUCCGGCACCUUCUGACUACCGGCCUCUAAGUAUAGGCUCUGUCGUGUUGAGGCAGUUUCACAAGAUUUUAGGCAGGAGGUUGGCUGCUCUUGACAUAUUCGAUGAGAGGCAAAGAGGCUUCCGGCCCGUCGAUGGCGUCUGCGAAAACGUAGAAGUGCUGUCUGCGGUGCUGGCGGACGCUCGGCGCCGAUGUCGAACGGUACAUAUGGCGUGCGUUGACCUGUCGAAGGCAUUCGACACG